rnacentral:rRNA from 1 species
UACAGAGGUCUCGAGCGUUAGGCGGAAUCACUGGGCUUAAAGCGUGUGUAGGCGGAUCGGUAAGUACCUUGUGAAAUCCCACGGCUUAAACCGUGGAACUGCUUGGUAUACUGCCAGUCUUGAGCCAUCUAGGGGCUACCGGAACAAAUGGUGGAGCGGUGAAAUGCGUAGAUAUCAUUUGGAACGCCAAUGGUGAAAACAGGUAGCUGGGGAUGUGCUGACGCUGAGACACGAAAGCCAGGGGAGCAAACGGG